CAGCGCCACAAGUGGGGACCAGUAUUAUUUGGCCUAAAGCAUCCGUAGCCGGAUUAGUAAAUCUUUUGUGAAAUUAUAGGGCUUAACCUUAUAGCGUGCAGAAGACACUGCUGAUCUUGAGACCGGGAGGAGUUAGAGGUAUGCAUGGGGUAGUGGUAAAAUGCUAUAAUCCUAUGUAGACCACCUGUGGCGAAGGCGUCUAACUAGAACGGGUCUGACGGUGAGGGAUGAAAGCUGGGGGAGCGAUCCGGAUUAGAUACCCGGGUAGUCC
rnacentral:rRNA from 1 species